rnacentral:tRNA from 1 species
GUAAGGGCUCAGAGGCACAGAGUCUUGCCUGGCAAGCAGGAGGCCCUGAGUUCGAUUCUCAGUAUUGACA